rnacentral:rRNA from 1 species
CAGUAGCCGCGGUAAUACGUAGGGGGCAAGCGUUAUCCGGAAUUAUUGGGCGUAAAGAGUGCGUAGGUGGUCUACUAAGCGCGAGGUGAAAGGCAAUGGCUCAACCAUUGUUAGCCUUGCGAACUGGCAGACUUGAGUGCAAGAGAGGAAAGCGGAAUUCCUAGUGUAGCGGUGAAAUGCGCAGAUAUUAGGAGGAACACCGGCGGCGAAGGCGGCUUUCUGGAUUGUAACUGACACUGAGGCACGAAAGCGUGGGUAGCAAACAGGAUUAGAUACCCCUGAGUCCCUGUCUCUUAUACAC